AUACGGAGGGUGCAAGCGUUGUUCGGAUUCACUGGGUAUAAAGGGUGCGCAGGCGGCCCGAUAAGUCAGGGGUGAAAUAUGACGGCUCAACCGUCAAACUGCCCCUGAAACUGUCAGGCUUGAGUUCGCGAGAGGUAGGUGGAAUUCCAGGUGUAGCGGUGAAAUGCGUAAAUAUCUGGAGGAACACCGGUGGCGAAGGCGGCCUACUGGCUCGAUACUGACGCUCAGGCACGAAAGCAUGGGGAGCGAACGGAAUUAGAAACCCCGGUAGUCC
rnacentral:rRNA from 1 species